rnacentral:rRNA from 1 species
AUUGAACGCUGGCGGCAUGCCUUACACAUGCAAGUCGAACGGCAGCGCGGACUUCGGUCUGGCGGCGAGUGGCGAACGGGUGAGUAAUGCAUCGGAACGUGCCAUUGAGUGGGGGAUAACUAUCCGAAAGGAUAGCUAAUACCGCAUAUUCUGUGAGCAGGAAAGCAGGGGAUCGCAAGACCUUGCGCUCUUUGAGCGGCCGAUGUCAGAUUAGCUAGUUGGUGGGGUAACGGCCCACCAAGGCGACGAUCUGUAGCGGGUCUGAGAGGAUGAUCCGCCACACUGGGACUGAGACACGGCCCAGACUCCUACGGGAGGCAGCAGUGGGGAAUUUUGGACAAUGGGGGCAACCCUGAUCCAGCCAUGCCGCGUGAGUGAAGAAGGCCUUCGGGUUGUAAAGCUCUUUCGGCCGGGAAGAAAUCGCGUGGGCUAAUACCCUGCGUGGAUGACGGUACCGGACUAAGAAGCACCGGCUAACUACGUGCCAGCAGCCGCGGUAAUACGUAGGGUGCGAGCGUUAAUCGGAAUUACUGGGCGUAAAGCGUGCGCAGGCGGUUUUUUAAGACAGGCGUGAAAUCCCCGGGCUUAACCUGGGAACUGCGCUUGUGACUGGAAGGCUAGAGUACGGCAGAGGGGGGUGGAAUUCCACGUGUAGCAGUGGAAUGCGUAGAGAUGUGGAGGAACACCGAUGGCGAAGGCAGCCCCCUGGGCCGAUACUGACGCUCAUGCACGAAAGCGUGGGGAGCAAAUAGGAUUAGAUACCCUGGUAGUCCACGCCCUAAACGAUGUCAACUAGGUGUUGGGUGGGUAAAACCAUUUAGUACCGGAGCUAACGCGUGAAGUUGACCGCCUGGGGAGUACGGCCGCAAGGUUAA